rnacentral:rRNA from 1 species
UGGAUGGCGAGUUUGAUCCUGGCUCAGGACGAACGCUGGCGGCGUGCCUAACACAUGCAAGUCGAACGCUCUCUCCGCGAGGGGAGGGAGUGGCGGAC